rnacentral:rRNA from 1 species
CGCUAUCACUCCUACGGGGAGGCAGCAGUAGGGAAUCUUCCACAAUGGGCGCAAGCCUGAUGGAGCAACACCGCGUGAGUAGAAGAAGGGUUUACGGCUCGUAAAGCUCUGUUGUUAAAGAAGAACACGUAUGAGAGUAACUGUUCAUACGUUGACGGUAUUUAACCAGAAAGUCACGGCUAACUACGUGCCAGCAGCCGCGGUAAUACGUAGGUGGCAAGCGUUAUCCGGAUUUAUUGGGCGUAAAGAGAGUGCAGGCGGUUUUCUAAGUCUGAUGUGAAAGCCUUCGGCUUAACCGGAGAAGUGCAUCGGAAACUGGAUAACUUGAGUGCAGAAGAGGGUAGUGGAACUCCAUGUGUAGCGGUGGAAUGCGUAGAUAUAUGGAAGAACACCAGUGGCGAAGGCGGCUACCUGGUCUGCAACUGACGCUGAGACUCGAAAGCAUGGGUAGCGAACAGGAUUAGAUACCCUGGUAG